rnacentral:rRNA from 1 species
AAACUCAAAUGAAUUGACGGGACCCGCACAAGCAGCGGAGCGUGUGGUUUAAUUCGUUGCUACACGAAGAACCUUACCUGGGUUUGACACAUAGGUUGUAGGGAACUGAAAAGGGACCGACCUUCGGGAGCCUAUACAGGUGUUGCAUGGCUGUCGUCAGCUCGUGUCGUGAGAUGUUCGGUUAAGUCCGCUAACGAGCGCAACCCUCGUCGUAUGUUAUAUGUGUCAUACGAGACUGCCGGUAAAAGCCGGAGGAAGGUGAGGAUGAUGUCAAGUCAGCAUGACCUUUAUAUCCAGGGCUACACACACGCUACAAUGGUCUGUACAAUGGGUAGCCAAGCCGCGAGGCGGAGCCAAUCCUGAAAGCAGGCCUCAGUUCAGAUUGCAGUCUGCAACUCGACUGCAUGAAGCCGGAGUUGCUAGUAACCGCAGGUCAGCAAUACUGCGGUGAAUACGUUCCCGGGUCUU